CUACGGGAGGCAGCAGUGGGGAAUCUUAGACAAUGGGGGCAACCCUGAUCUAGCCAUGCCGCGUGGACGAUGAAGGCCUUAGGGUUGUAAAGUCCUUUCGCUGGGGAAGAUAAUGACGGUACCCAGUAAAGAAGCCCCGGCUAACUCCGUGCCAGCAGCCGCGGUAAUACGGAGGGGGCUAGCGUUGUUCGGAAUUACUGGGCGUAAAGCGCACGUAGGCGGAUCAGUCAGUCAGAGGUGAAAUCCCAGGGCUCAACCCUGGAACUGCCUUUGAUACUGCUGGUCUAGAGUUCGAGAGAGGUGAGUGGAAUUCCGAGUGUAGAGGUGAAAUUCGUAGAUAUUCGGAGGAACACCAGUGGCGAAGGCGGCUCACUGGCUCGAUACUGACGCUGAGGUGCGAAAGCGUGGGGAGCAAACAGGAUUAGAUACCCGUGUAGUCC
rnacentral:rRNA from 1 species